rnacentral:rRNA from 1 species
UACGUAGGGGGCAAGCGUUGUCCGGAUUUAUUGGGCGUAAAGAGCGUGUAGGCGGCCAUACAGGUCCGUUGUGAAAACUGGAGGCUUAACCUCCAGACGUCGAUGGAAACCGUAUGGCUAGAGUCCGGAAGAGGAGAGUGGAAUUCCUGGUGUAGCGGUGAAAUGCGCAGAUAUCAGGAAGAACACCCGUGGCGAAGGCGGCUCUCUGGGACGGUACUGACGCUGAGACGCUAAAGCGUGGGGAGCGAACAGG